AAGUCGUAACAAGGUUUCCGUAGGUGAACCUGCGGAAGGAUCAUUAACACGUAUCCAACGUUAAACCCCCCUGUGAAUUUUAUCGCAGCUCUUGCAGACGCCGGUAAGUUUGCAAUCCCUGGUAAAUCAUUGUUGAACAGAUUUUGAUUCAGGGACCUCUAACACCGGUGGAUGCAAUUCGAGCGCUUGUGCAAGUGGCCUGGUUUCCCCAAGCUGCCAGUGUCUGAAAGUGUCGCUGGUUGUGUAAGGAAAACGCUUUACGAUCACUGGAGGCCAACACGGCCGGUUACCCCACUACCUGAACUUGGGUCGCAGGAAACUGCUUCCCCUUAAAUCCGAACAACUGUUAACAAUGGAUAUCUUGGUUCUC
rnacentral:misc_RNA from 1 species